rnacentral:rRNA from 1 species
UACGUAGGGUGCAAGCGUUGUCCGGAAUUAUUGGGCGUAAAGAGCUCGUAGGCGGUCUGUCGCGUCUGCUGUGAAAACUCAGGGCUUAACCCUGAGCUUGCAGUGGGUACGGGCAGACUAGAGUGCGGUAGGGGAGACUGGAAUUCCUGGUGUAGCGGUGAAAUGCGCAGAUAUCAGGAGGAACACCGGUGGCGAAGGCGGGUCUCUGGGCCGUAACUGACGCUGGAGGAGCGGAAAAGCAUGGGGGAGCGAAACAGG